rnacentral:rRNA from 1 species
GACGAACGCUGGCGGCGCGCUUAAUACAUGCAAGUCGAACGAGAAGCCAGAGCUUGCUCUGGUGGAAAGUGGCGAACGGGUGAGUAACACGUGAGAAACCUGCCCCAAAGAUUGGGAUAAGCCUUGGAAACGAGGUCUAAUACCAAAUACCUUCCUUUUAACACAUGUUAAAAAGAAGAAAUGCUCCGGCGCUUUGGGAUGGUCUCGCGAUCUAUCAGCUUGUUGGUGAGGUAACGGCUCACCAAGGCAUCGACGGAUAGCUGGUCUGAGAGGAUGUCCAGCCACAUUGGAACUGAGACACGGUCCAAACUCCUACGGGAGGCAGCAGUAGGGAAUCUUGCACAAUGAGGGAAACCUUGAUGCAGCGACGCCGCGUGCGGGACGAAGGCCCUAGGGUUGUAAACCGCUUUCAGUAGGGACGAAAGUGACGGUACUACAGAAGAAGCCCCGGCCAACUAUGUGCCAGCAGCCGCGGUAAU